CGACCCGUAAUGCUUCUUGUCUGCCUCCAGAACCGAGGUUAAGCAGGGACCGGAAGCAGCGCCGAAUCAUAUUCUGAAUUCUGGCCUGUUUUUGUUGGACCACAACAGCUGACGUAACCCUGUGGCGAUCGUGGAUGCGAGCCUGCAAUUCGAUCGGCCACAGGCACACUUCUGCGCAACAGCCGCGUAGGAGCAUGGCUGUCGCAGCUGACAACAACGCACCUUCUCCUGCUUUGUUCCGUUGGCUGCGUAGAGUAUGGAAGCAGCCAGCUGCCUGUGACUCACACAGUCGACGCCAUUCCAUUGAGUGCUGCUUUCUGCUCCUGCGCAUUCAUGCAGCCGAAACGAUUGCAGACGCGAUGUCUUCAGGAGGCGGCAAGACUGUUGCAGUCACCGAUGCCAAGUGCGGCCAAGAGCACGGUGUCGCGUCUUCUAACACGAAUACGUGAGGACGUGAAAUUCACUCACAAGAUAUGUCAGUGGAUCUGUGCGAAACUCGUGUACUAAACUCUCGCGUGUUCCCACAAGUGCAUUAGAUUAGACGGCACGUAUGUUAAUCACACUGCGUGUUGCCUUCGUAUUGCCAUGUUCGCCUUCCUCUUUCUUUCUUUCUUUUCCUACGUUGAUGCUGAUGCUUUUGUUCAAUGUCGUGCCGUUUUCUUUUCUGCCAACACCUACUAGCAUUUAAUAAAGGAAUCCUGUAAUGAUG